rnacentral:lncRNA from 1 species
GCAAAGACCAAGCGUGAAAAGUAGAAACUCAGAACUUAUUUCAACAAUGGAAUACACUUUUGACUUGACUUACUAGAGAGGAGGACAUACGAAACCAGGUGGAGGAGUCUUCCCACAAGUUAUAAGGGCUUCUAGAGCAAUAGGAAUGAAUAUGUUGAGGUUAAGAAGCUUAAGCCUUAUGGCAGUGCAGAGACACACAGCUGCUUCAAGCUCUAGCAAGCCUCCAAGCACCGGGCAGCAUACAUUCUCCACUGGAUUCCCCAAACCAAUAUGCACCAAACCUCCAAGCACAUCCACGCAAGCCCCUAAUUUAAUCGCAUUUACUGGACAAGUUGGUGAAGUAGAGGGGGGAGGGUUAAGACCUGGAAGACCACCACCUCCUCCUCCUCCGCCACCGCCGCCGCCUCCGCCGCCGCCUCCACCACCACCACCUCCACCGCCGCCACCCCCGGAAGGGGGGUUACCAGUAUAAGGUGGGUACGUGCUUGAGGGUGGCGGAAUGGUCACCGGAGGGUUUACUACCGGAGGUGUUAUUCCUGGUGGAUUAUUUGAAGGCGGCGAUACUAUCGGUCGCUCUUUGUGGUGGCCGGGUGGGUGCUUCUUGGAUGGAGGAUGAGGAUGAGGAUGAGGAAUUGUCGGUGUGUUUGGGCGGCGGUAAGGUGGGCUUGGGUAGCGGUAAGGUGGCUGUGGCUGUGAGCAAUAGCCACAAGCCUGCAUUGGCGGCAAUGCCAUUAACAUGAAAAUCAUGAAGAUGAAGAACAUGGCUGUACCCUUAGAACCCAUAACUUUGGGUUCACAGAGGAUUACUAAAUCUUCUUCGCGGCAAAUGAUGAACUUGAUCCUAGGACUUUAUAGCGGAAUUCAAUGAGUCACCCGUGACUAGUGACCUUGAACUGAAAGUGUGAAGGAGGACAAUACGUGGAUAGAACCCCAAGCUCGGAAAUAUAGGCUUUAAUUUGGAAAUUAAAUUGAAAAGUUUGUAGUUUUGCGCUGGAUCGGGAAAACCAAUAACCAAUCCGUGACCGGCCCAAUUCAAUCCGUGAAAGCCUUCGAUUUCAGAACAAGUUCAGUCUCACGGAUUCCCAUUGCUGCGUCUCUUUGUUUUCUUUCGAUAAUUUCACUUCACUUUUAUAUUUCUUUUUAGCCCAUUGCUUUUUCUGGGUUUCUCUCAUUUCUUUGCAUUUCUGUGAUUGAGAAUGAUUUUUUCAUCAUUUCGAGGCAGGGCACUGUAAUUACAGCGAAGCACUUUGUCCUCCCUUUCAAAAACUGUUGGCGGGUUAGAGAGGGAUGGGAGUCUGAACCAAGAUGGUGUACGAGUAAGACUAGGGUUUCCAGGGACACA